ensembl:processed_transcript
GUCUGGCCCAUCAACAUCGUAGGCUUGACCUUCUCAGUGAUGUCUCGGAACAGCCUUCAGCAGGGUAAUGUGGAUGGUGCACGUCGUCUUGGCAAGAAUGCAAAGAUCCUGUCUAUCGUGUCACUGGUGGGGGGGAUUGUCAUCAUCGUUGUUACUAUCGUCAUCAACUGGGGUGGUGAGUAUGCUUACCGUGAGUAA